rnacentral:rRNA from 1 species
GACGAACGCUGGCGGCGUGCUUAACACAUGCAAGUCGAACGGAAAGGCCUGCUUUCCCUUGUGGAUUGCGGGUACUCGAGUGGCGAACGGGUGAGUAACACGUGAGUGAUCUGCCCCCAACUUGGGUAUAAGCCUGGGAAACUGGGUCUAAUUCCCGAUAGGACUGCAGGGUGGUGCCUGUGGUGGAAAACGAUUUUCUAGUGGUUGGGGAUGAGCUCGCGGCCUAUCAGCUUGUUGGUGGGGUAAUGGCCUACCAAGGCGGCGGCGGGUAGCCGGCCUGAGAGGGUGGACGGCCACAUUGGGACUGAGAUACGGCCCAGACUCCUACGGGAGGCAGCAGUGGGGAAUAUUGCACAAUGGGCGGAAGCCUGAUGCAGCGACGCCGCGGGGGGGAUGACGGCCUUCGGGUUGUAAACUCCUUUCGACCGCGAGGAAGCCACCUGGUUGGAAGGGUGGUGACGGUAGUGGUAGAAGAAGCACCGGCUAACUACGUG